CUAAGUGGAGAACUUAAAUAAUGUUUGCAACCUUUGAUUUCUAUGACCAUUCAUCCCUUCAUUAUCCUAUUCACGCCAUGACUAGUGGAAGAAUUAAAGAAUUUAACUCUCAUACAUCAAUCCUCUUGAUUAUCCCUAGUUCCAUGUGUUCUUUCAUCUCCUCAUCAAGCUAUAUAUAUUGCCAUACGAUCAAUAUUGAGCUACACCUUAAUCUUUAGUUACCUUGCAAAUAAGAAAUAUCACAUAUCUCUCUCUGAUGUCUCUCAUAGCUGCCAAACACGUUUAUGAAGCAUGGAAUGGAAGUAUUAAAAAUUUCUAUUUGGAGGAAGGUUGGUAUCUGGCUUUUCAGCUUGAUGUUGGUCAUAGCUCCGAUUGCUAUCCUUUGUGUUUUAUUUGCAACUAGGCAUUUUCGGUCAUAGCUCUGAUGGUCAUAGCGUCGAAAUGAACUUUGGAGUGAGAUAUAUCUCGUGUACCUUGUAGCUGCGAAUUUAGGCUUAGAGUAUUGCGCUUGGAACGAAAUCGGCCAAGGUACCAAAGGUGAAAUAUGAGGUGAUGUGUUGCUUGUAGGUGCGCGGGACUAAACAAAUUUGGGUUUUAUAAAUUUGUAAUUCUUUUUAAAGAAACAAAGUAUUUUUAUGAGUAAUUUCUUUAUAGAAAAAUAUGGGUUGUUACAUUUUGGGACAA